rnacentral:misc_RNA from 1 species
GAUGAAGAACGUAGCGAAACGCGAUAAGUAAUGUGAAUUGCAGAAUUCAGUGAAUCAUCGAAUCUUUGAACGCACAUUGCGCCCGCCAGUAUUCUGGCGGGCAUGCCUGUCCGAGCGUCAUUUCAACCCUCGAACCCCUCCGGGGGGUCGGCGUUGGGGAUCGGCACUUACCUGCCGGCCCCGAAAUACAGUGGCGGUCUCGCCGCAGCCUCUCCUGCGCAGUAGUUUGCACACUCGCACCGGGAGCGCGGCGCGUCCACGGCCGUAAAACAACCCAAACUUCUGAAAUGUUGACCUCGGAUCAGGUAGGAAUACCCGCUGAACUUAAGCAUAUCAAUAAGCGGAGGA